CUGGAUUCCCUGCUCCCUCCUAAAUGAGAAGUAACAUACUCAGAACUCAGCACAAUUUUUGGCACAAAGAAGUCCCAUUAAAAAGUUCUGAUGUUGAGACAAAAAUACAUUCUUAACAUUGUUCUCAUCACCUAAAAGCUUAUGUGCUUCAAAGUCUAUGUGCUUCAAAGUAUGUGGCUAGAGGUUUUCUUUCCAUUUUAAAAUACUAUCUCUUAUUAUCCUUAUAAAAGCUAUUUAUCAACAUACUCUUUUUCAGUAUACAAUGCUGCUGGGUUUUUUCCUUUAAAAAGUCUUUAUCUUUCACUUGUAUAUUGAACAGGUCCUGAACUGUGUGAAUAAAAAUAUUGCAUGCAAUUCUGAACCCUGACUUGAAAAUAGGACACAUCUUCAAAGACAGUAAGGAAAAGAAAUAUAGAGUGAGAAGAGAGAAAGACUGGAAGAGGAUAGGUUCUUCUUAAGCCAUGACCCGGAAACAGGACAGCAUGCACUCCAACGUGGCUGGCUGGAACUCAAACUCAGCCACACCCAACUCCAAACAAAUCUGGGAAAGAGGUUCUAGCUGAGAAGAAAAGAAAGCAUGAAUUCUAAUUAACAGCUUGCAUUCUCUGCUACAGGUAAGAUUUCUAGUUAUAUAAAUUCUACACCAGGACCAGCAGCAGAGUAGAAGUCUGACAGAAGGGAAAAGGGCUAGGCAUUGGCCCACCUGCCAUUUGCAGGAAACCUGCCCUGCCUGAUGCUCAACAAUGUCCCCAGUUUCUCACAAAGCUGACAAAGUACAAACAAGGGACCAAGAAUUACUUCUCAGUGGCCAAUCCCUUAUGUCUAAUGCUUCUAAUUAGUGAAAGGGAUCAGUUGAAGGCAUACUGGCAUUGUGAUAGCGUUAGAGAAAAAUCUUUGGCCAGAAUAUGACAGAUCCAUUCCCUGUAACCUAUAAGGUACCCUGGAAGCCAUUGGCUUCCUAGAAUUUUCCAUUUGAAAACCCUUAUACACCUUGGCAGUGAUUUGCAAUGAGCAAGAUUUUCAACCACAGAGAGUUUUAAGAACUCUAGACAUUGGGGCCUUUGGGCCCAAAACCAAUGUAAGUUGUACUCCUACUUUUUUCAUCAUUCUGUAAGGUGAUUCCUGACUUAGCCGCAAACUACUUUGAAAGUAGAGAAACCAUUGGGAAAGGAGAAAGUAAGGCUUGGCUGCUGGGCUUGGUGUUUAACUGAAAGGCAAUACUUCAGGAAAUUGUGAAACCACCCGUCGUUAAGUAGAUGGUGUGAAGAUGGAGAAUAUUAUCUAAAAAUACUAUACUGAAAGAAAAAGUCACUCUUCAGCUACUGUUUGUGUCUCCAAUUGUUUGUGUGCCUAUUUCUCUUUUUCUCAAAAUGAGGGAGAAACUGGAUCCGUAGAUUUAAUCUUUCCUUAGCUGAAUAAUAACAGAUUUAUCAUUUCAAUCAAAUUAUAUUUUUAAUGCAAGGGUCAUGGUAUUUUCAAGAGCAUUUUUAUGCAAGGAAUAUAAUGAUAUACCAUGGAUUUCAAGCAGAACCAGAGGGGAAGGGAAGUCUGAAAGGGUUUUAGGAUAGCAGGAAUAUGGCAGGAGGGGAGAGGGAUGUCAACAGGCUGGCUGUUUUUGUUGGCGUCCCACAGGAGGGACCAGACCCAGAAAUAGACCUCAAACAUCAGAAAAAUUUCUGAUAAAGCUGGAUUGGGAAACGAGGCUUGGAUCUACAGCCACAGUGAGGUUGCUUCAAACUCUGCACACUGAUUUGGACUGACUCGCCCAACCACCUGCAAAGUAGGCUGAUCUGAGAGGGGGUUCCCAAGAGCACCCUGGAAGGAGUUAGAAGAGAGGAGAAAAGGGGGUAUGGAUUGAUGGAGAAGAAGAGCGAGGAUGAGACGGGUUGAGAGUUUGGGAAAUGACAAAUGACAUGAGAGGCUUGCAGUCAGCAGUGGGAACAAGGAUCAGAGGCAGAAUAGAUUAGGUCCUCAUGCUGUAGGGGACUUUCU
rnacentral:lncRNA from 10 species